GUCUUAGUUCAUAGCCCAUCCAGGCCUGAAACUGUCAAUCCUUCUGCCUCAGCCUUCUGAGUGCUGAAAUUAAAGUGGAGUUUCCAGAGGCUGCUUGAUGUGUGAUACGAUAGCAGAAUCCAGAAUCCAGAAGCAAGCCAGAAACCAUGGUACAUGCCUGCUGGAUGGCAGUGUUGCUUGAGCCCAGGAGUUAGACAACAGCUUGGGUAACAUGGCCCUGAGCAAGCUGCACCAUCAAAACCCCAUCAAAAGCCCGGGCCCCUAAGUGAGCUUCCACUGCAGUAAUACUAGUGAAGAUCCUUCGGGCAUAAAAUUUUAGGGGACACCAAAAAACUCAGUAAUCAAGAUAGCCAGCAUUACGAUUUUUUUUUUUACAAAGAUUAAUACCAAAAUCCCACAACAAAAUACCAUAAUUUAAAAUAAAGACAGGAUUCUCCGAACUCGGUUCUCCUUUCUGUGGACUCCACCGGAACCCCUCAUUCACGGUAGGACUGAAUAAUCUGGAAUUAAGUGUAUGUACUUCCCGCUGGUGCUGCGCGAAGCAAGGCUGAGAAGCUGCAGAGAGCCAGUGUCCCUGCUGUCCCUUGUCCCCAGCGCAGGGCGACCUGUGCCUCGCAGCGGGGACUGGAUGGAACCCAUGCUUGUGGAAAAGGCCGCGAUCAGGGGAGCUGGGAGGCCCGUGCAUGUGUGCAUUACCCACGUGAGCACGCACGGUCUAGGCUUGCUUCUCUUUCCAAGUCUGGGCUCAGGACCGGCAGACUUCUGCCUCCGAGAAGAUGCACGGAACUUGGACUUUGCGCUUGCAAAGACAUGGCACCUGGUCGUUACGUGGGGAGUGAAGGUCAGCAUUCCUUCUUACACAACUGGCAGGUGGAGCGCAACUCUUCCUGCCACUUCACUGCCAGACAGGAACACGCCCCUCCCUGCAAGGUAGCAGAGACCUGAGCCCAUACCAUCCGGUCCUAUCAGCCCCGCAGAACCCCUCCAACAGUCCUCCGGCAGCAGCAGAACGCAGGGAAC